GUGUAUGUAUAUNAAAUAUAAUGGAAGAAUUAAAUUUCAAGUUAACCAAAAUGCAGGUCGGAGUGAAAUGUCUCCGUCGUGUGCUUUUGAUGUAUAUCCCGAUUCACAAUUUACUGAUUCGAGCCAAAGGUUAAUUUGUUUAUUUUAAUAAGAAUGAUCUCCGUAUAACUUCGUCUUUAUAUUACAAGAUAGUGAAGAAGUAAAAUACUAAUUAGAUUAGUAGAUAUUAGUUAUAAAUUAUGUUUAUGACUUAAUAUGGUUAGUCAACGAAAUGUGAUAAGUGGUAUUCGACGGGCCGUUAUAAAUACUUUUGUUGCUUAUUUCAGUUAUCAGCGUCCAAUUGUUACAUUGAUACCAGCAAUUGUACCAUUAGAAGCAUCGACUGCUACUGUCACAGAAAUAACUGACGAGGCAACAGAUAAUAUUGAUUAGAGUAGUUACAUUAU